CAGCCGCCGCGGUAAUACAGAGGGUGCAAGCGUUAAUCGGAAUUACUGGGCGUAAAGCGCGCGUAGGUGGUUUGUUAAGUUGGAUGUGAAAUCCCCGGGCUCAACCUGGGAACUGCAUCCAAAACUGGCAAGCUAGAGUAGGGCAGAGGGUGGUGGAAUUUCCUGUGUAGCGGUGAAAUGCGUAGAUAUAGGAAGGAACACCAGUGGCGAAGGCGACCACCUGGGCUCAUACUGACACUGAGGUGCGAAAGCGUGGGGAGCAAACAGGAUUAGAUACCCCAGUAGUCCCUGUCUCUUAUAC
rnacentral:rRNA from 1 species